rnacentral:rRNA from 1 species
GACGAACGCUGGCGGCGUGCUUAACACAUGCAAGUCGAACGGAAAGGCCCUGCUUUUGUGGGGUGCUCGAGUGGCGAACGGGUGAGUAACACGUGAGUAACCUGCCCUUGACUUUGGGAUAACUUCAGGAAACUGGGGCUAAUACCGGAUAGGAGCUCCUGCUGCAUGGUGGGGGUUGGAAAGUUUCGGCGGUUGGGGAUGGACUCGCGGCUUAUCAGCUUGUUGGUGGGGUAGUGGCUUACCAAGGCUUUGACGGGUAGCCGGCCUGAGAGGGUGACCGGCCACAUUGGGACUAAGAUACGGCCCAGAGUCAUACGGGAGGCAGCAGUGGGGAAUAUUGCACAAUGGGCGGAAGCCUGUUGCAGCAACGCCGCGUGCGGGAUGACGGCCUUCGGGUUGUAAACCGCUUUCGCCUGUGACGAAGCGUGAGUGACGGUAAUGGGUAAAGAAGCACCGGCUAACUACGUG